rnacentral:rRNA from 1 species
UUUAACUGAGCGUUCAGUUACUUGACGUAGACCCGAAACCGGGCGACCUACCCAUGAGCAGGAUGAAGCGAAAGUAAAAUUUCGUGGAGGUCCGAACCCACGAGCGUUGAAAAGCUCGGGGAUGACUUGUGGGUAGCGGUGAAAUUCCAAUCGAGCCCGGAGAUAGCUGGUUCUCCCCGAAAUAGCUUUAGGGCUAGCCUCAAGGUGAGAGAUACGGAGGUAGAGCACUGAAUGUCCUAGGGGGUAUUGCACCUACCGAAGACUAUCAAACUCCGAAUGCCGUCAUCUUAUACUUGGGAGUCAGACUGUGGGUGAUAAGAUUCAUAGUCGAAAGGGCAACAGCCCAGAUCGUCAGCUAAGGUCCCUAAAUGUAAGUUAAGUGGUAAAGGAUGUGGGAUUGCACAGACAACCAGGAUGUUGGCUUAGAAGCAGCCACUCAUUCAAAGAGUGCGUAAUAGCUCACUGGUCGAGUGAUCCUGCGCCGAAGAUUUCCGGGGCUAAAACUUACUACCGAAGCUACGGCAUCAGUAAUGAUGGGUAGGGGAGCUUCCCAUACGGGUUGAAGCAUGACCGUAAGGACAUGUGGACAGUAUGGGAGUGAGAAUGUUGGCAUGAGUAGCGAGAUGUGGGUGAGAAUCCCACAGGCCGUAAACCCAAGGUU